CCUUGGAACAGGACGUCAUAGAGGGUGAGAAUCCCGUAUGUGACUGGUAGCUUUCGCCCGUGUAAAGCUCUUUCGACGAGUCGAGUUGUUUGGGAAUGCAGCUCAAAAUGGGUGGUAAAUUUCAUCUAAAGCUAAAUAUUGGCCAGAGACCGAUAGCGCACAAGUAGAGUGAUCGAAAGAUGAAAAGCACUUUGGAAAGAGAGUUAAACAGUACGUGAAAUUGUUGAAAGGGAAGCGCUUGCAACCAGACUCGCAGGCCGUCGAUCAUCUCAGGUUCUCCUGGGUGCACUCGGCGGUCUUCGGGCCAGCAUCGGUUUGGGUGGUGGGAUAAAGGCCUUGGGAAUGUAGCUUCUUUCGGGGAGUGUUAUAGCCCUCGGUGCAAUGCCGCCUACCCGGACCGAGGACCGCGCUUCGGCUAGGAUGCUGGCGUAAUGGUUGUAAGCGACCCGUCUUGAAACACGGACCAAGGAGUCUAACAUCUAUGCGAGUAUUUGGGUGUUAAACCCAUAUGCGUAAUGAAAGUGAACGGAGGUGAGAACCCUUAAGGGUGCAUCAUCGACCGAUCCUGAUGUCUUCGGAUGGAUUUGAGUAAGAGCAUAGCUGUUGGGACCCGAAAGAUGGUGAACUAUGCCUAAAUAGGGUGAAGCCAGAGGAAACUCUGGUGGAGGCUCGCAGCGGUUCUGACGUGCAAAUCGAUCGUCAAAUUUGGGUAUAGGGGCGAAAGACUAAUCGAACUCAUCUAGUAGCUGGUUCCUGCCGA
rnacentral:rRNA from 1 species